AGAAAAAGCAACUAUCCUAAGACUCUGAAAGUAAACAAAACAAACAGAUUGUGAAGGCUUGUUAACACCUAGAGCAGCAAGCCAUAUGGGAGUGACUUCCUGAGGCUCCCUACCCUGCUUUCUCUCUCACCACAUUGACCUGAGCACAGCUGCACACAUGGAGAGGUACCCCAUGGUGGCACUUGCAGCCAAAACUUUGAUGGAAACACCAUUUUUCUGACACAUGUUCAAAGAACCCCUGAGCUGUGCAGGCAUGAGACAGAAAGCGGCCUAGCAAAGGUUUUGAGAACCGAAUGGAGACGUGUAUCAUUACUCACAGAAGGGAAUAAUAACAUCUACCAUGCCGAGUUGUUAUGGAGAUAAAAUGAAGUGGUGUCAGCUAAAUGCCUAGUGUAUGACUAUGAAUUCCUAAGAAAAGGAGCCAUACUUUAUCUCCCCAUACCUGACACCAAUGACCCCAAAGAAACAUUUCUGGAAAUGAGAAACCAUAAUACCAGACUCCCAGGGUCUGAGCUGGCACCAACAAUCAGGUAAGGGCCCUAGUUGUGGGAAAGACCAGGACUAAAGGCCAGGACCAUACCUGAGAGAGGGGGGCCUGUCCCCUCUCAUGGUUUAACCAGCCAGCCCACAAGUUGCAGGCAUCCCAGGUCCAGGUGACCCAGUUCCACCCCUGCAGCCUCACCAAUCAGACCCUGGACUUUCCCUCCCUCACUCCAGGAAAAAUGUUCUUAAAUCAGAAAAGCAAAUGGCUUCCAGCAUCCUAAAACUGCAGAGACAGCUAAAGAGAGAAAGCUCUUCCAAAACAGCCUUUGUGGCCACAGUGGAUUUCUGAACUCUGUGGUGAAGCCAGAGGAGUGAAAAGUCAGCCAGAGGUUUACAUUUCCAAACACUGAGGCUGGAACAAUAAACAGUGCUCUCAGCAGGCAGAGAGACAGCCUGAUUUGGGUUUCUCUUGUUUAUCCAGAUACUCUCCAGCAAGCCCUAGCUCACAAACAAUCUGUGUGUCUACCGUGAGUCCAUGAGUCACUGACCUCUGGGAGCCAGACAACGUUUCCUGGGUCUGACAACAAAGUGACAGCAAAUAUCUCUGCAGUGCAGAGAACAACAAAAGAUGCUGUGAGCCAAAAACUACUUAGAACCAAACUGGAACCCUAGGGAGGGGGGUGGAUGCUAGGCCUGCUUGAGGAGAGUAUGUGAACUUGUGUUUGAGCUCACAGGCACCGGUCCAGUCCCAUUUUAGCAGCCACUUUUAAGCCCUGUCUAUAUACUGCCCUCUCUGCAAGCUUUUCUGUCUCCUUGUGUGUUCAUCCAUUCUUGCACUGCUAUAAAGAAAUACUUGAGACUGAGUAAUUUGUAAACAAAAGACAUUUAAUUGGCUCACAGCUCUGCAGGCUGUACAACCCUGACAUUGGCACCUGCUUGGCUUCUGGGGAGGCCUCAGGGAGCUUUAACUCAUGGUGGAAAGAGAAACAGGAUUAGGCAUAUCACAUGGCCAGAGCAGGAGCAAGAGAGAGAGUGGGAGGUGCCACACACUUUUUAUCAGCUAGAUCUCGUGUGAACCCAAUCAUCACCAAGAGGAUGGCACUAAGCCAUUCAUGAGAGAUCUGCCCCCAUGAUCCGAACACCUCCCACCAGGCCCCACUUCCAACACUGGGGAUUAUAUUUCAACAUGAGAUUUGGCGAGGACACAGAUCCAAACCAUGUCACCGUGCGUAUCAGUUCACUGCAAAAAUAUAUCUAUUGAACACAGAUUACAUGCCAAAUACUGGGCUGGAUUCUGGAGAUACAAAGACAAAUUAGACUCAGAUUCUGUCUUACGAGUUUUCCAUCUACCUGGAGAGACAAAUAGUUAAUAUUUUUAUGGAGUGGUAAGUGGCAAUUUCAGAGGGUACAAAGUGUUACAGGUGCAGAGGGGAGGAUCACUAGACCCAGCCUGGGCAUCUAGGGAAGGCUUUUUGGAGGAGGAGACAUCUAAACUGAGUUCAGAAAAUAAAUUGUGUCCAAAUGAAUAAAGAUGGAAAAUGUAUUACAGGCAGCACAACCAAGAGGAACAAAGACACAAACAUGUGAAACGGCCUGGUGUGUGUGAGAAGCUGGAAGCAGUUGAAUGUGACUAGAUGUAUGUGCAAGGUAGACUAAGUAGAGGUAGGACUGAAGGGACCAGCAGGGGUCAGGUCAAGGAGGGUCUAAUGGGGUCCUUUAUGUCAAGGGGAGGUGCUUGGAAUUUCUCCUCUGGGAAACGGGAAGUCUUUGAAUGGGUUUAGGAAGAAAAGUGGCAUGAGGAGAUCUACUUUUCAGAAUGAUCACUCGGGUUGCAGCGUGGAGAAUGACUGAUUAGAGGACACUGUGGAGGUAAAGAGAUCAGCUAGGAGGCUGUCACUGCAAUCCAGGAGAGAGCUCAGGUAGCAGCAGAAGGUAAGGAGAGUAUGUUAUGCCGUUCUUGCAUUGCUGUAAAGAAAUACCUGAAGCUAGGCGUGUUGGCUCACUC
rnacentral:lncRNA from 10 species